rnacentral:tRNA from 1 species
AAAAUGUGGCUGAACCUAGUAAAGCACCUCCCUUACACCGAGGAAAUACCCGUGCAAUUCGAGUCAUUUUGAACA